rnacentral:SRP_RNA from 1 species
GCUGGGCACGGUGGCGUGUGCCUGUAGCCCCAGCUACUUGGGAGGCUGAGGCUGGAGGAUCGCUUGAGUCCAGGAGUUCUGGGCUAUAGUGUGCUAUGCCAGUCAUGUGUCCUCAUUAAGUUCAGCAUCAAUAUGGUGACCUCCCGGGAGUGGGGGACCACCAGGUUGCCUAACAAGGGGUGAAUCGGCCCAGGUCGGAAACAGAGCAGGUCAAAACUCCCGUGCUGGUCAGUAGUGGGGAUUGUGCCUGUGAAUAGAUACUGCACCCCAGCCUGGGCAACAUAGCAAGAUGCCUCU